AACAUUUUGGAUACUCUGUUUGUGGAGUCAAAAAUUAGGUUUAAGUCUGCUUGUAUCUGCAUUAUAUCUCUUAUAUGAUAGAAUGAAGAUACCUAACUCAUCUUUCUCUUUUUUCGUCCCACUAGUUAACGGUCUAAUGAUGCUUGGAUUAGCAGGUGUGCAUCAACAGAUUAAUCUCUGCAAUGAGUCUCUCAUGUUAGAAAAGUUGCCUGUCUGUGGAAAGUUCUUUGAAGGGAUGAUGAAGAAAGUGGACUCCAGAAAAUGGUGCAACCUGACAGAAUUUAUCAUGUAUUAUAAUAACUUUACCCAGUGCACAGAACGUGAAGCCAACAAUGCAAGUUGCUUCUGGCCAAACCCCCUUGCAGAGAGCUUUAUCACGGGAAUUCAUAAACAGUACUUUUCAAACUGUACUUUGGACAACAUUCACUGGGAAGAUCCGCCAGAUGAAAUUCUCGUAACUCUGAUCUUGAUUCCAGUCAUAUUGACAUGUGCCAUGAUAAUGCUGGUAGUAUGGUGCAGUAAGAGAAGUGAUAUUCUAGUGUAAGUUGUUCCCAGUGGCUUUAUUUUUAGCAUUUCCUUCUUCAAGGAAAAAAAACAACAAACUAAGAAAGAAGGAUGAAAAAAGAAACCACGUCAAAAUUUCAGACCUGCAUAAAUGGAACCUGUGAGAUGCUGGGACAGAGAUUAUGCUUCUGUGAACAAACAACUGCUUUCUUCUGUCAAAAGUCAGUGCUUCUGAGGUUGGUCAUCGGUGUUCCUGGUGCAAAGACUUCACUGUUGUCGGGUAUCAUAACCACAGAAUUCACAAGCAUUUCUCAGGAUUAAGGUAGUCCACAGCUAUUGCUGUGUUUCCUAUGAGUUCUUGACGUCUGUUUCAAACUAAGUUCAACUGAUCAACUAGUCAUCUUAAAGGCAUGAGCCCUCCAAAGAUUGGCCUAGGAAAUAGAUGGAGAAGAAACUUUCAAGCUGAUACAUCAUGCUAGUAGGUGGUAGUGUCUCUGCACAUCUAAAUGUCACCUGUGGAUCCUGGUGGCAGGUAUGUACCCAGUCUAAUAAAUUGCUUGGAUUUUGAAGCUGACGUGAAGUACAAAUUUUGCUAAGGAGCAGGACUCAAAGAUAAUGAUGCAGUAAGUGAUGGACAUUAUUUUUUGUAAGCUGUCAUCACUUAAGAUAUGAGGGUUCCUCAUUCAGAGACUGAGAGAUCCUGAUCUGAGUUUGCAGUGUCUUAGUUCCAAUGGGAAAGCAAAAACUCUUCUUUGUUUCUCAGAUGAGUUGAGAGUUGAUGGCCACCUAUGGAGCACCUCAAGUCAUCGAGAGUGAUUAAUGGUCUCAUUUCACUGGUACAAUGACACAACACCGGGCAGAAGAAAACAGUCUGAGCGGUGAUUCCACCUGCUAGAUAGUCCAACAGGGGCAGGCCUUAGUGAAUGCUCUAAUAAUAGUCCUAAGGCUGCUCUGAAGGCAGACUCUCAGACCGUGCAGGGGUGGAGAAAGAGACUGUGAAACCCUGUGAGACCUGAAUGAAAGCUCAGAGAUAGCAGACCCAGUGCCCUGAAGAUGCUACUGACAUGGGCCUCCUUGAUUAGGAUUCAAAUUAUGGGCACUGAUAAUUGGGUAGGACCCCAACUUGGCAAUGAAAUAAUCUUCUGCUCCCUGCCCCUGAAAACAUAGAACCCAGUACCCAUAUGUUACAGUUGGUGUUACAGCUGGAAAGAUUAUUGUGGAGAAAAUGGGAAAAGAAGAUUCUUUCCCUUAUUUCUACACCUUCUGCUGUCAGGUUUGAGUGGAUCCUGCCUUGUUACAUUUUAUAGCAGUGGACUGCUAUAACAUUGGUACGUUAUUAAUUUUGUUCUUCUCCCAGAACCGUAACUUAACCAGAUGAAUGGGAACUAUUGAAUAUGGCCUGAACCUCUGACUGAUCACCUGAGGCGAGCGCUGAGUCAGACAGUAAGAUUUAUGUGGUUUGGAGAAAUACAACUGAACUGAUGGGAGCCUCAACACCACUUGAGUCUACCACAUGCAGGCUUUACCUGCAUGAGCUGUAGACAUCUGUCUGCCUGUCUGAAUUCCUGCAAUGUACCUGCUAGUUUUCCCCCUUCUGUGGAUCCACCGAUCAAUUUAUCCCCUUCAUUAUUAAAAAACUUCCUUCAGAAAUGAAACACGAGGCUCAAGCAUCUCUGAGAACCUCUGCUGCCGCUGUGUGUAAAACAGAUGUGAACAUAAAGGUUGUCUGCUGUGUGACAUUAAGUGGAUUACACCUCCCACUAUGCAGAAAAGCACGAGCACAAACAUUAUACCCACUUGUUAAGAGUCAGAUAGAAUUUUUACUAUGUUUUUAAACAUUUCUUUUUUUAAAAAAAAUAUCUGUAGUCAAACACAAGGCAAAAAGCUGCCAAGAAGCAUUCUCCCCCCGCUGGUGGCACCUCAGUCGUUUUUCUCUCUGCAUCCCUGUAGGUAUGCAAAAACAUAACUAGGACUGACAACACAGGAGGUUUAAAUAAAGGAAUAAUGAGCUGUGGGACACAAAA